GCGGCGUGCUUAACACAUGCAAGUCGAACGGGAUCCAUCAAGCUUGCUUGGUGGUGAGAGUGGCGAACGGGUGAGUAAUGCGUGACCAACCUGCCCUGUACUCUGGAAUAGCUCCUGGAAACGGGUGGUAAUGCCGGAUGCUCCACAUGGGUGCAUGCCUGUGUGGGAAAGGGUUUACCGGUAUGGGAUGGGGUCGCGUCCUAUCAGCUUGACGGCGGGGUAAUGGCCCACCGUGGCUUUGACGGGUAGCCGGCCUGAGAGGGCGACCGGCCACAUUGGGACUGAGAUACGGCCCAGACUCCUACGGGAGGCAGCAGUGGGGAAUAUUGCACAAUGGGGGGAACCCUGAUGCAGCGACGCCGCGUGCGGGAUGACGGCCUUCGGGUUGUAAACCGCUUUUGAUUGGGAGCAAGCGUUAAGUGAGUGUACCUUUCGAAUAAGCGCCGGCUAACUACGUGCCAGCAGCCGCGGUAAUACGUAGGGCGCAAGCGUUGUCCGGAAUUAUUGGGCGUAAAGGGCUCGUAGGCGGCUCGUCGCGUCUGGUGUGAAAGUCCAUCGCUUAACGGUGGAUCUGCGCCGGGUACGGGCGGGCUGGAGUGCGGUAGGGGAGACUGGAAUUCCCGGUGUAACGGUGGAAUGUGUAGAUAUCGGGAGGAACACCAAUGGCGAAGGCAGGUCUCUGGGCCGUUACUGACGCUGAGGAGCGAAAGCGUGGGGAGCGAACAGGAUUAGAUACCCUGGUAGUCCACGCCGUAAACGGUGGACGCUGGAUGUGGGGCCCAUUCCACGGGUUCCGUGUCGGAGCUAACGCGUUAAGCGUCCCGCCUGGGGAGUACGGCCGCAAGGCUAAAACUCAAAGAAAUUGACGGGGGCCCGCACAAGCGGCGGAGCAUGCGGAUUAAUUCGAUGCAACGCGAAGAACCUUACCUGGGCUUGACAUGUUCCCGGCGACAUCAGAGAUGGUGUUUCCCUUCGGGGCGGGUUCACAGGUGGUGCAUGGUCGUCGUCAGCUCGUGUCGUGAGAUGUUGGGUUAAGUCCCGCAACGAGCGCAACCCUCGCCCCGUGUUGCCAGCACGUCAUGGUGGGAACUCACGGGGGACCGCCGGGGUUAACUCGGAGGAAGGUGGGGAUGA
rnacentral:rRNA from 1 species